ACUGCGCAUGUGCGGGUGUACAGUUGAACUCAGGUGGCUUUUGGACCCAAAAUAAUUUUGUGGAAACACGUUUGCAUUAAAAUGAAACCAACAAAUGAACGCCAGCUACAGUAACGGCAGCGAAAAGGUUUGCGAACGGACAGACUUUAAACAGCAGAAGAGGCGGAGUAGCUAAAGACUGACUGUUUUGGUUUUAUUUUUUCGCGGAGCUAAUAUUAAUGCUAGCUAACAAUGCUAACAACAACAACACCGGCACGAAGCUGUGAAAUGACCCGUCAGCUCAUUGCACUGGAAUUAACUCUACUGCACGGAAGAAAGUCCAAGAAGAAACACCUGUUUCAAGUCUUAAAGUGCUUCUCCAGCGACUGGGGGUUGCUUGGUGCCGGAUGGAGAUGGUGGCUUGCCAUGAGUGGUCUGCGUAGGACUGGCGAGUGUGAUGGCCUGGACAUUGUUUACUCAGACUGAACAGCAAACUAGCGAGGGAGGGUCGUCUGCUGAUUGAGCCACACCUGGGAUCAAGUGGCUCAAACGGCUUAAAAGCUCCCUCACUUCCAGCGUAUGGCUCUCUACUUUCUUCUGGAGCUCCAGCAGCAUGGUUUUGAGUUUCAGUUUGUGGUCUGUAGGGCACCUUUCCGGUUGUUUUGCGUGACAAUAAAACCAUUUUUAGUCACCACACUGUUGUUGUCUCCCUGUUUUGUUGCAGCCUUUGAGCCAAGCUGUAACAAUGGAGACUUUUAAUACAACAAAGCGACAUGGCUCCAUACUAAAUCAGCAUUUAAAGACUGUUUUGAUAUUCAAUUUUUAUAUUAAAAUGAAUAACUGUUUAUUUUCAUUCUGAAUUACUCAGUAGCUGCUAAUUAGUCAUGUACUAAAAAUGCUAAAAACAAAAUAAAUGCUCAUUCUGUUUGUAGUUUUAAAAAUAUCAUACCUGAUCCUUAGGCCCAGUGAGCAGGCACUGACCAACAACUAAAUUAGUUGCCGGCUAAUUUGUUCAUUUGUUUUGUCAGUUUUAUCAGUUAUUCAUUGCUUCCUUACUCCAUAGUCUCCAAGAUACACAGAAUACUGCCAACCUCAGCAGAGGAUAGAUGUAUCUCUCACAUAAUGCCCAAAACUAAAGAAUCAUGUGAAGCCACAAAGGCAGCCAUCUUGGCAUUGCUGGAAAUUGUCAUGAGUGAGAGACAGGUAGUGAAAAAACUGAAGAUCUCCAAGAUAGCAGUUCAUUACACCGAGAAAAAACAAGCCCAACAUUUUACUACCAAAUUGCUAGUUGGUCGUUUCAGGAAACGUCUUUCUAUCCACCAGGUGACUGUCCCUCAUCCAUUCCUGUGUCAGGAAUCGUUGUCAGACCUCCAGGGACCUUAAAAAUGAGUGGGCACUGUGGAGAAAUUGGACUUAUUCAGCAAGGACAGUUGGAAACCAACUUCUUGAAGCUGGACUGAAGUCACACAGGGCAGGAAGAAGCCCUUCAUCAAGGAAAGACAGAGGAAAGCUGGUUACUCUUUACUGGGAUCACAAGGAUUGGACUGUUGAUGAUUGGACUAAGGUUCUCUUCAGGGAUGAAUCCAGUUUUCAGUUGAUGUCCACUCCAGUCAGCUUACUGGUUAGGAGGAAGCCUGGAGAAGCUACAAACCAGACUGUCUUUGUCCUACAGUAAAACAUGGGGGUGGAUCAGUGACCAUCUGGGGUAGUUUCAGUCUGGGUGGAACAGGGCAAAUGAACCAGGUCAUGUUUGGGGCUACUCUUGAAAACAGUCUUCUUCCAUCAGCUGGAAAACUCUUUCCUGCCUCCAAUGACUGGAUUUUCCAACAAGACAAUGUCACUGACCACACGACAAGGUCAGUUAAAGCCUGGAUGGAGAACCAGAACAUUGGAACCAUGUCUUGGCUGCUCAAUCACCAGAUCUAAAUCCAAUAGAAAACCUGUGUAAAAUCAUCAAACGCAAAAUAGAGAACCACAAGCCCAAAAACAAAGCUAAUUAGUAGAAUUAGUGCAACAGGAAUGGGCUGCUGUGACAGCAGAAAAAUGUCAGAAGCUGGUGGAGAGCAGCCAAGAUGCAUGGAUGCAGUCUUUAGAAACAAAGGUUAUGCAAUCAAAUACUAAGUCCUGUGUGUAUCAUGUGACUAAAACAGACAGAAAAGAAAACAUGGAAUCCUAGAAGCUGUUUUUGGCAGAACAAUGCCAUAGAUACUGAUGGAAGAACUUAUAUGAUUUUGGUUAUUACCAAGAAAACCAUGGAAAAUGGCUAGAUAUCAGCUCUGAAAUGAAACUCUUAUGAGCUAUUUUUGUUAUCAUUAUAUUUGUCCAAACAAAUGUACCAUUUAGUACUACCAGGCAUUAAAAUGAACAAGAAAUUGAAGAAAACAAGGGUGGUCUAAUGUUUUUUUCCACAACUGUAUGUGUACAACACUUAAAAUCUCUAGUUUUUCUGAUGCUGUAGCUGAAAAUGACUCCUGAAAGUUAGAAUUGUGCUUGGAUCAUCAUUCAUGUCAGAGCCAAUGAAAUUCACACACAGCAGUCUGAAAUAUUAAAACUGGAUUUUAUUGAGCCGGGGACAUUCAGAGUUCAGCCGUUUAUUAGUGGCUCGCUACCAAUAGUGGACAGAGAGUUUCAGUAGACUUCUGGGAUUAAAUACUCAGCCCUCCGAAACCUGCAGCUCUAAUACGUUAACUUCACAGACAACUUUAUUAUGUUUUCAAGGAGAAAAAAGCAUCUCUUCGGAGCCCAUAUCCUUCAUCCGAGGCGCUGUGGAACAAAACCACUCACAGACAAAUCUUCUGUAUUGUUUUCACCAUCCAUCGUUCUGCCGCGCAGACAGACUGAUGACGCACUCUGGUGAAAAGACCGGCCAGCAUUCGCCGCGACAGGAAGACAGAUCAUCUCUGGUUGAUAACACACAUGUGGAUAAUUUCCCCUGCCGCUCGCUCCCCUCAUCUCCUCCGCUGGGCUUCGCUGACAGGAUGGAAGCUCUGAUCAAUGCUGGCAUCAAACUCCCACCGCGUCCCCCGUUUGCCUCACCCCCGACCAGGUUGCCCCUCCAUAGCUCAUCCCUCCUCUCCCUUCCAUCGUCCACCACAUCUGUUUUUAUUAUCUAACUCUCUCCCUUCCUCUGUCCCCAUUCGUCCCCUCAGUGCCAGCAAUCACCUGAAAGAGAAAACAAAACGGCAGCCGCCCCCCCGUCAACCUACGCUGGCCGUAUUGAACACAGUCGGCCCUGCCAGUUGUGCUGAUAAGAACGAACACAGCAAACCGAUGUGAUACGGGCCCUUGUUACCAUGGAGAUGUGUCUCCUAAAAGUUUGGAUAUAGGGCCGGGAUUCAGUGGAGAUAAUGUUUGAGCUUGGGCCAAACAUAAUACACCUGUCCCUGCUAAAUGCCAGGCAGAUUGUUGCUGAUUAAUGAUUGUUGAUGCAGAUUUGUGGUGAAUAUAAUCAGAGCAGGAAAUAGAGGAGGUGGAGUCGCUGUGUAAUCUAAGAACACAUUUAUGUGUUGAGAGCUAUCACUUUGUACUUAAAAAUCAUUUGAGCAUCUUUCUGUCAUAUUAAGAAGCACGCCUUGUUUUGUUUACUAUCUACAGGCCACUACAAUACUCAGCAGUAGUCUUUUUCGAUAUAAUUUCUGUUAUUGUUACUGACUUUGACUGUGUUGUCAUAACUGGUGAUUUUAAUAUCUGUAUCAGGGGUGUCAAACUCAUUUUAAUUUAGGGACCACAUUGAUCUCAAGUGGGCUGGACCAGUAAAAUCACAGCAUAAUAACCUCUAAAUAACCACAGCUCAAAAUUUUCCAUUUGUUUUGGUGCAAAAAGUUCACAUUUAAGGAAUUAUCUUUUUACAAAACAUUAUGAACAACCUAAAAUUUCUUAAGGAAAACAAAUUCAAUUUCAACAACAUUAUGCCUCAGUUGAUCAUUUACACAUUACAACUUACAGAUCACAGAGCAUCUAUAAAGGCACAAAGCAUUUAGUCACAGCUAUCUGGAACUGAAUGAUAUGGCAUUUUAAUUUUUUUAAAAAAAGACAACAACAAAAACAAGACAAAAUAUUACAAAAAUGAGAUACAAAAUGACAAUAACGAGAAACAAAAUGACAAAAAAAUUAACAACACAAGCGAGACCAAAAACGCACAAAACGAUACACAAAAAAGCGAAUAAAACAAAACACAAAAUGACAAGACAAAAACCACAAGCGAGACAAAAGGAAACACAAAACGGCAAAAACAUGAGACAAACCACAAAAGUCAGACAAAAAAAGACAAAAAACAAGACAAAAUAUUACAAAAAUGAGACACAAAACAAACAAUGAGCAAUCUAGUAUUUUACUUUAUGAUCAAAACAACUUUUUAGGGUCUAUAAAUUAAUUUAAAUUUAUAGUUUUAUCAGUUUACAAUCUGCAGUUAAUGUUUUCUCUGGAAUUUUUAUGUUUUAGUCAUCCCGUGGGCCGAGUUGGACCUUCCGGUGAACUGGUUUUGGCCCACGGGCUGCAUGCUUGCCACCGCUGAUCUACAGUACAAAUGCUUAAGAACUUUCCCUUAUUCUGUAAACCUUUGGACUUUCUCGGCUCAAACAACCCAUCCCGCAACAAAGGCCUUAUAUUGGAUUUGGUUAUCUCCAGUGGUCUUAAUAUAUCUAUGGUUACGGUGCUUGAUAUUGCUUUAUCAGAUCACUCUUGUGUUGUGUUUGAAAUGACUGACACUGACACUGUAGUGGGUCUGAUACAAUCAAAAGAUGAUAUAUCAGUGAAAAGAGUGCUGGAGCACAUACUCGGGUGCCCUCUGCUUCAACCUCAGUGGAUGACCUCGUAAACAACUUAAAAAAUCCCAAAUGUAAUAGAUUACAUUGCUCAAAAGUCAAAGUUGUUUCUGGUAAGAAGGAGAAAUGCUCCACUGGUCAAAAUACAAAAAGAAAAACUCAUAGAACAGCUUAAAUAUCAAAAAAAUGAAACUCCAGAUUCACAGUGGUCCCUACAGUCUUCACCAGGACAACUUCCCCAAUAGGACCAAUAGCUGUGGAACCUGUUUUUAUCGAGUUAUUCAACAGUUUUGCUUAUUUUUUAAAUGCAGACACAAUUGAAUAUAUAAGGCAAACUUCUAGCACUACCUCACUGAAUCAGAAUAAUAUGCCUCAUGAUACAGCAGAGCCGAUGACUCACUUUGAUUCCAUUAACUCUAAAACUCUUGGGGUACUUAUCGCACCUGAAACCCUCCACAUGCAGUCUCGAUGUUCUGCCCACAUGCUUCUUUAAAAAAAGUUAUUUGUUUAUUAAGAGACUUUCCACAGAGCGUUUCAUGGGGUUUUCCUAAAGCACUGGAAACAGCAGUCAUUAAACCACUCUUAAAAAUGGUAAUUUAGACCCACUCAUGAUGAAUAAUUAUAGGCUGGGACUGUUCUUAUUCAGGUUUUUAAUGAUCUUAACCUACAUAUAGAGUGCGGUGCCUGUGUAUUGGGUCUCAUGUCUGCAUUUCAUAGUGCUGAUCAUAUUAUAUAUAUAGACUGACUGAAAUUCUGCCUGAGUUGGCUUAGGUCAUAUCUUCAAGACAGAGAAUAUUGUCUUUAUUGGCAACUACUGAAGCGUGAAUGCCAAUAAUGUGUGGCGCUCCGGGGCUGAUUCUUGGACCUAGUCUGUUUAUUCUGGACAAUCUCCUACUUAUUAAAUUAUGCAAAACCUUAAGGUCCUAUGCCACAGACAUACAGAUGACACUAAAAUAUACAUAGCUGCCCAGUAGACUAUCUAAAAAUGUAUAUUGAAGAAAUCAGCGACUGGAUGUACCAAAGUUUCCUUCAAUUCAAUAAGGAUGAAACUGAAAUUGCAAGAUUCUACCACUUUGAAUUAUCACAGAGAUUUUAUGUCCAGAUUCUAAUUCAAGAUCUGGUUAAAUUGGUACAUGCCUUUAUCUGUACCAAAGUAGACAACUGCAAAGAACUUUGUUCAAGUCUGCCUGAAACAGCAUCAACAGGUCCAGAAUUGUAAUCCUAGAAAAGCUCAACACAUUACAUCAAUUUUCAAAUCCCUACUCUGAUUGAAAAUUGACAUUGAAAUGUCUUUGUAAAUCACUUAAAAGUAUUGGUUCACAUCUUAGAAGGUUUUCCCUGUCUAGAAGAUUUUUUUGGCACCCCAAAAGAGGUUUUGAGCCAGUGCCAAAGGAAAAUCACCUUUAAUUGAGGUGAUUCUUUUUUUUAAUUCUCAGUGACUGAAUUGAGAAUUUAAAAAAGAUUAGAAUUUUCGAACAUCCAAAGUAAGGUAAAUGCAUCUGUCAAAAGAGGAAACAUAGGCUCUUUUGCCUUUGCUGUACACGAACCCGUCAUGCUUACUGUCAUGUGUAGUCAGCCCACUAAAGGCCCGUUCUGACCCAGGAAAUACCCUGUCUUAGAUGUAUUGACCCUAUAUGAGCCCUCCAGACCUUACAUGUCAGCUACUUCUGGGAUACUGGUUCCCAGAUGGUCAUAUAAUUGGCUUACAGCAGCUUUUUCGAGAAUUUUAGAAGCAUACAAGUUGAAUAAACCACAAUAUGCCAUCACUUUCUACUAAAAUUACUACCCCUCUUUGAGCAGGAAAUGCGAAAUACACAAGAUACUGGUUCUGGUUUCACAUGGGCUCUUGAUGUUGAAGUAGAUUUGACUUCAUUGUUCGGAAGAUGCUCAGAAUCAGUGUGGGGAGUUGUGUCACCUUGCUGUUUGGAGACGUAUCUAGGUUCUGAUUUGCACUGGACUGAGGCUGAUGUGUUUAGUGCUUCUAUUGGUACUGUUGUGGAAGCAGGGAUUGCAUUAAAAGGAAAAAAAAAGCACAGAAAGGAGGUCAGGAUCAUGAUGUGCAUGCCCCCUAAGACCUCAUUUACUCUAAUGUGUUGUUUAAAAGAAAUGUUUGUGAAUUCUCAUGCGACCUCGCUGUUAUGGUUGAAAUAAUGCACAGAACAUUUUCCACAGCGCAUUUAUCAACCUAUAAUAUUAUGCUUUCUUUUCCAGAGUAAUUAUUUCCGUUGCCUCCAGUUAGCAGCAGGAAUCCAGGGCAACAUAGCGUUUUUCUUGACCUUUGCCACGAAUGCUGCAUGUAUUGUAUCUCUUCCUUUCUUAAAGAGAGAGCCUGUUGAAUUGCUCAUGACGUAGCCAGCCUCCUACAUACAUCUGUGACGCUGAACAGCCGAACAAUAACUCUACCUAGCCAGCCAAACAUCCAGGAUUACACUCACAUCUCGCAAACAUAUGCUCUUUAAAAUUAAGCACAUGCUCUUUAAAAUUAAGCACAUCUUUUCAAAUAAGCAGACUGAAGCUGAGCAAGAUCAGAACCUGAGAGAUUAGUCAGCUGGAGCUUCAUCAAGUGCAAAUGUGUUUCAAUAGCCAAGAUGCAAACUGCAGCACAUGAGAGGUGUGGAAUCUAACACAGGCUGUGGUGGUGGCUCGUUUACUUCGGCACGUUGUUGUGUUUUUGUUUGUGCUCCGUGUUUUUCUGCAAUAUUUAAAGGUCACUUCAUUUUCCCAGAAGCCUGCCUUGUCUCUGCGGCACAGUCCUCGCCAGUGGUGUAGUCUAGUUUAUUCUAGUGGGUAUACUCUGAUUUUUCCCCUUCCAGCCUCGCGCACACACACGUAGAUGAGAAAUUAAAGAUGAUGAGAAAUUAAAGAGGUCCAGUCAGAGAAAAUGUAUUAAAGCGUAGGUCCAGAACAUCAUAAUGUCUAACUUGAAUUAGUGUGAUAGAUGUUGAUGUAACCUGGUAGUUUUAUUUGCGUCGGCAUGUAAUCAAUAACUGACCAUCAAUCAAAUGAAUUUAGUACGGUUCAAAAACAUUUUGACAACAUUUAUUAAUAAAUAACUUUUGACAUAACUGUACAUCUUAAAAUAAAGUGCAGAACUUGAAAAAAUAAUGACUGAACAACCUGAACCAACUUAUAUACAUCUUUAACAAUACCUAAAUCUCAUAAAUGUAAACAAUUGAACCCUUUUACAUUUUUUCCUGUCUUAUAUCACUCCCCUUAUAUCUCUGCUGCUUAAUGGGAGAACUGAGCUGCCGGUAUUUUGAAUCGUGGUCUGAAUGGUGUCAGGGUUGUUCUCAAACAUAUUUAGAGGAGCUCAUUGGUGAGUCUGAAAUGAUAUUUAGUUUUGAUUAUGUCCAUAGUUGAGAAAGCUGCCUCGCAGCUGUAUGUUGAUCCAAACAUGGUCAGCAUGUGACCAGUCUGUCCUCUAGUGAUGUGUAAUGCACAAAAGAUACGGCUCGAGUCGAUGCUUUGUAGUGUAUCUGAAGAGCCGACUCCUAAGUUAUUUAAUGGAGUAUGGAGUUUAACAUUGUCCUCACAGAAACCACGGUGCUGGAUCCUAGAUUAAAGAAGCUUGCCUUCAGUGACAACAGAGCUGUUGAUGAGACACUUCAGAGAAUAAAAGCAGCAGCAAAAUGUCCCCCAGCAGCCAGACACCUCCACCAUUAGAGGACCAAGUGGAGGAGGAACCUCAAACUUCUGCUGUGUGGAGGCUCUGUGAUGGAAGAGGUACAAGAGAUGCUGCAAGGAGAAAUCCUACAGCUGAUGUUGCAAUGGAGGUGAGAUCAUAUCUUGAACCCCUCAUCCAACCAGCAGACGACCCACUCAGCUGGAGGCAGGCCAAGGCCUCAGUCUUCCCCACCUGGUGAAGGUGAUGGAUGGGAGACUGUGUAUUGUGGCAACCUCUGUUCCAUCUGAGAGAAUCUUCUCAAAAACAGGGCAGAUAAUCACUGAAAGAAGAAAUGGUAUCAGCCCAUCCAAGCUCAGGGAGCUCAUUUUUCUGAAUGCCAACCUGCACUGAGGACAUUUAUACUGUUUGAACACAGGGUUUGGUUCUGUUUCUGUUCUGGUUCUGUGGGUUUCUGUGCAGUGUUUUGUUCAUUUGUUUUUUGUGCAAAAAUUUUGAUUGAAUUAUUAAACAAAAGUAAGAAUGUCUGUUUUUGUAAGAACAAAUGCACAAAAUAAGUCAAUUAUGAGGCUUCUCAUAAAAACACUGAAUGCAAAAGAGUUUUUCAAUACACAGAUCGUUCAUAUUUGCCUGGUUUGGCUAAAAUAUGAGGCUACAAAUAAUACUAAAUUAGGAACCGUUUGGGAGCCGAAAGAGCCGGCUCUUCUUUGGAAACUGUGCCAAAAGAACCGGCUUCCAUCACUACUGUCCUCCUCUCUGUCCCUUACCUCUCCCCUGAUUUUUGAAGGCAGAGCUACGAUGUAAUGCAGAGACUUCAUUGGCUGAGUAGUGUCACGUGGGAUGACUGAACUCGUAUGUAAUUGCUCUGUGUGUUUCCUGAGCUGAUAACCCCAUGAUAAACACUGGAAAGCUGCGCCGGUAAAAUAGAAGCGACCUGUCAAAUUCAGACCUGUAUAGACGGCGUCUGGGUCCGGAUCUGGACCGCGGUCCAUUUAGUGACCCCUGUUCUCAGCCACACACCUUCCCCCGCCCCAUACAACUGCACUGCUUCCUAACACAGAGACGGCAAAUUUAUGAACGGGAAAGUGAAUGUUAUGUCAAAAAACAUACUGAUACGAAUCUUUGAGCAUUCUUAAGUGGUUAUACGGAAAUUCGGGACCUUUUCUAGUGGGUAUACGGCGUAUACCUGCGUAUCACAUAGACUACACCCGUGGUCCUCGCCACCAUCCCCAUUCACGCUUGUAUGUUUUCUUCACAGUAUUUAUCUCCUUCUUGAUUUUGAUGCAUCAGUAAUUAUGUACACCGAUUAGCCACUGCAUUAAGACAACUGACAGGUGAAGUGAAUAAUGCUGAUUACCCGGUUGCAAUUUCACCUGUCGACUUGUGGAAUAUAUUAGGCAGCAAGUGAACAGUUGGUUCUUGAAUUUGAUGUUUUAGAAAGAAGGAAAAUUGGCAGCAUAAAGAUAUGAGUGACUUUGAUAAGGGUUCAAGCUGUGAUGGCUUGAUUACUGAGUCAGGGGAUACAUAAAACGACAGGUCUUGCGUGGUUUUCCCAGAAUGCAGUGGUUAGAACCUGUAAAGUGGUCAAGUAAGGACAACUAAUGAUCUGGAGACAAGGUCAUGGGUGGCCAAUGUAAGGCUUAGUAAUACAGAGGGUCCAUCAUAGUAUAGCAUGUCGCCCAGAAAACAUCAUAAUAUAGCAUGUCGCCUAAUAAAUGUCAUUGUACAGUAAACCCGGCUGUCUCGCUGAGGAUUAACACAAAAACAGUCCAAACGCUGGUUUCCAGAGGGUUAGACGAGUAUUUAUUUAAAAGAGUAAGUUUACAACAACACAACAUGUGAGGGGGUUAAAAGCAAAUGGGUGUUAGUAAAAUAAAAAUAAAUAAACAGAACUAAAAGCAAACUUCAUGUUGAAAUCGAUGGACGCUCCAUCUGGGAACAAAGUAAAAGAUAAUCAAUACAAAAACACCAUCUUCCUGUUCACCUCUUAAAACCCAAAAACACACUGCAGUAGCAGCCUAAACUAAAACUACCAAUGGGUUCUCUGUUUUCCUUUGUGAACAAU